rnacentral:rRNA from 1 species
AUUGAACGCUGGCGGCAGGCCUAACACAUGCAAGUCGAGCGAGCGGCGGACGGGUGAGUAAUGUCUGGGAAACUGCCUGAUGGAGGGGGCUAACUACUGGAAACGGUAGCUAAUACCGCAUACCAUCAGAUGUGCCCAGAUGGGAUUAGCUGGGAGGUGGGGUAACGGCUCACCAAGGCGACGAUCCCUAGCUGGUCUGAGAGGAUGACCAGCCACACUGGAGCUGCGAAGCGGUCCAGACUCCUACGGGAGGCAGCAUUGGGGAAUAUUGCACAAUGGGGGCAAGCCUGAUGCAGCCAUGCGGCGUGUGUGAAGAAGGCCUUCGGGUUGUAAAGCACUUUCAGCGGGGAGGCGUUACCCGCAGAAGAAGCACCGGCUAACUCCGUGCCAGCAGCCGCGGUAAUAC